rnacentral:tRNA from 1 species
GGGGAUUUGGCUCAGUGGUAGAGUGCUUGCCUAGGAAGCACAAGGUCCUGGGUUCGAUCCCCAGCCCCG